AAUUGGAUACCAAAGUGUGUGGGAGAGGAAGUUGGAUACCAAAGUGUGUGUGAGAUAUAAAUUGGAUACCAAAGUGUGUGGGAGAGGAAGUUGGAUACCAGAGUGUGUGGAGAUAUAAAUUGAUACCAAAGUGUGUGGAGAGGAAGUUGGAUACCAAAGUGUGUGGGAUAUAAAUUGGAUACCAAAGUGUGUGGGAGAUAUAAAUUGGAUACCAAAGUGUGCGGGAGAGGAAGUUGGAUACCAAAGUGUGUGGGAGAUAAAUUUGAUACCAAAGUGUGUGGGAGAUAUAAAUGAAAGCGAAAGUGAAAGUGAAUGUAUUGCGGAAGGGGAGCAGAACCGUUAAUAGAAGAGGAAGUAGAGAGAGAGCAAAAGAAUGCAAAAGAAAUAACUACAGAAAUUCAGUGGGAAUAUCUAUAAAGAAGCAGAGAGGUCAUACCUAUAAGAGGAAGCAGAGAAGGGAUAACCAUAACGAGGAAGCAGAGAGAGAGAGUAACUAUAAGAGGAAGCAGAGAGGGAAUAACUAUAAAGUGGAAGCAGAGAGAGAAUAACUAUAAGAAGUAGAGAAGGAAUAACUAAAGAAAAGAGAGAAAGCAGAAGGAUAAUAACUAUAAGAGGAAGCAGAGAGGGCACAACUAUAAAGAGAAAGCAGAUAGAGAAUAACUAUAAGAAGUAGAGGGGGGA